UAGGGAAUCUUCGGCAAUGGGGGGAACCCUGACCGAGCAACGCCGCGUGAGUGAAGAAGGUUUUCGGAUCGUAAAGCUCUGUUGUUAAGGAAGAACGAGUGUGAGAAUGGAAAGUUCAUGCUGUGACGGUACUUAACCAGAAAGGGACGGCUAACUACGUGCCAGCAGCCGCGGUAAUACGUAGGUCCCGAGCGUUGUCCGGAGUUAUUGGGCGUAAAGCGCGCGCAGGGGGUUAGAAAAGUCUGAAGUGAAAGGCAGUGGCUCAACCAUUGUAGGCUUUGGAAACUGUUGAACGUGAGUGCAGAAGGGGAGGGUGGAAUUCCAUGUGUAGCGGUGAAAAGCGUAAAUAUAAGGAGGGACAACGGUGGCGAAAGCGGCACUCUGGUCUGUAACUGACGCUGAGGAUCGAAAGCGGGGGGAGCGAACAGG
rnacentral:rRNA from 1 species